AGGUGGGCAUGAUUGAAAGGUGAGGGUGGAGUCUUCUAUUAGAGCUACCUGAAGUUACAACAUGUGUAGUAGCAAUGCUCCCACCAAUUCAGACUACUAAACAGCAAUCUCUGGUGUCUGAUAUGGGACACUUCCCUUCAAGCUGUUGCUCACAGGAGUUCAAGAGACUCCCCAAAGAAUAAAAAGAUGUGGAAGCUUAUAACUUGAAGUGAAAAUUAAAAGCAGACCAGCUUGAAGGUGGUAGGUGAUAAAAAAAAGAAAACACUGACAGUUGCGGAAUGACUAAUGCCCUCUGAAUCAAUUUGAUAUGGAGUAUAAAGGAGACUUGGCAUCCUGGUAUGAACCACAGGCUUUGAAACAACUCAUGGAGGAUGGUGCUAUUACUGAGUUAGAAGACAUAGGAGGAGAGAUGAGUGUCAUUUGAGGAGCUGAGUUGAAAUACCUUACUGGACUCAUAGAAUCGAUAAGGCAGAGAGAGACCCGAGCAGAGAUAUGAAUUUGAUAGCAAGUACUAUUGUGCUUUUCAUGAGGAAAAUGUUAAGACUGUAAAGGCUCAAAAAGAGACAAGGCAGGCACAUAAUCAACUAUGAAGAGGCAGGAAAACAAAGACUAAAUACAAAAAGAGAUGUCGCUGAGACAUCAGCAAAAUAUAAAGCAAAGUCUCACAAAAGCCAAAGGAUCAGAAAAGUUCUAGAAAUAACUCCUGUAUGCUGAGUAUACUAAGCCUAGAAAUGCUGAGAGGUAGAAAUGCUGAAACCAGAUGGGUCUGGGGGUAAAGAGGGCAUAGGAGACAGAGAUGGCAGCAUCUACAAAAAGUUCUGAAAAGUUGCAUAUAGGAGGAGCUAUCAGGUCUAGGACCUCUGAAAUGUGGUAAAGGACAAAAAACUUAAAAUUGUAUUGUUUAUCCAUUUAUAAGUAAACAAUUCAACAGUGUACAUAUAUUCAUGCUUUUCUACAGCAGAUCUCUAGCAAGUUUUUGUGUUGCAAAACUAAAAACUCCAUGUUUACUAAACAAUAAAUUCCCAUAUCCCUUUCUUUCAAGCUCCUGAAAUCACCAUUCUGUUUCUCUGAAUUCGGCUGUUAGAUACUCCAUACAGCUUUUCAAACAUUGGAGAGAAGAAAGAUGUAGAAGUAAAUGGAAGUUCACAGACUCAAUGGACUUUAAAGAAGACAUUAUGAUGCCUUGAUAGUAGCAAACAGUUGUUAAAAUCUAAUGUUAACUACUGGUGUUUAUUUUUCUGUCUCUGUUCUUCAUUCAUGAGGUAUUUUGACUGCCCAACCUAUGAAAAAUGAAAAAGAAAAUGUUUUUCUAUGGAAAAAUGUUUUUUAGUGGAUUAAAAGUUGAAGCCAAAGAAAUUGGCACUCAAA